UACGGAGGGUGCAAGCGUUGUUCGGAAUUACUGGGCGUAAAGCGCGUGUAGGCGGAUCCAGAAGUCGGGUGUGAAAGCCCUGGGCUCAACCCAGGAAGUGCGCCCGAAACCAUGGGUCUUGAGGUCCGGAGGGGAUCGGGGAAUUCCCAGUGUAGAGGUGAAAUUCGUAGAUAUUGGGAGGAACACCGGUGGCGAAGGCGCCGAUCUGGACGGAUUCUGAAGCUGAGACGCGAAAGCGUGGGUAGCAAUCAGG
rnacentral:rRNA from 1 species